AAGGUAGCAUAAUAAUUUUUUCUUUAAUUGGGAGGUUGAAUGAAUGGGUUAACAAGGUAUCGACUUUAUUUACGUUUCGGUAGAAUUUUAUGGGGAGGUUAAAAUGCCUUUUUGUGUUAAAGGGACGACAAGACCCUAGAAGCUUUGAAGUUUAUAUAAAGAAGAGCUUAUUUAACUGGGGCGGUUAGUAUUGUAAACAAUAUAGUUUUAACAUUUUGUAUGGUUUGGAUGAUCUUGAUUUAAAUAGUAAGGUAAGCUACUCUAGGGAUAACAGCGUGAUUAAGUUUGAGAGUUCUUAUCGAAGGCUUAGUUGCGACCUCGAUGUUGAAUUAAGUGGGCCGCUUGGAGCAGAAAAUGAGCAG
rnacentral:rRNA from 1 species